AGUGAACGCUGGCGGUAGGCCUAUCACAUGCAAGUCGAACGGCAGCACAGUAAGAGCUUGCUCUUACGGGUGGCGAGUGGCGGACGGGUGAGGAAUACAUCGGAAUCUACUUUUUCGUGGGGGAUAACGUAGGGAAACUUACGCUAAUACCGCAUACGACCUACGGGUGAAAGCAGGGGAUCUUCGGACCUUGCGCGAUUGAAUGAGCCGAUGUCGGAUUAGCUAGUUGGCGGGGUAAAGGCCCACCAAGGCGACGAUCCGUAGCUGGUCUGAGAGGAUGAUCAGCCACACUGGAACUGAGACACGGUCCAGACUCCUACGGGAGGCAGCAGUGGGGAAUAUUGGACAAUGGGCGCAAGCCUGAUCCAGCCAUACCGCGUGGGUGAAGAAGGCCUUCGGGUUGUAAAGCCCUUUUGUUGGGAAAGAAAAGCAGCAGGUUAAUACCCCGCUGUUCUGACGGUACCCAAAGAAUAAGCACCGGCUAACUUCAUG
rnacentral:rRNA from 1 species